ensembl:lncRNA
CACACCCAUUCCUCUGUGGUCAGUGUGAUGUCAGGGUCCACCGAGGUCAAGUGUUCCACAACAGGGAUUCGAUGACACAUGCAUUCUUUCAUCCAUUGCCUCCCACAACUUGUGUUGUGGAGAGGGUUCUAACCCAGUGUGAGCGUCUUGUACCUUUGGAGAUGCCAGAGACAAUAUGCGGUUGUCUACGAGUAUCGUCCAGUGUCAUCGCAGGACAGUCCAUAGUUGUGGUUACAAUGAAUGGGCGAUAUGAUCUCAGAUUGCCUCAGAUUAGAUGCAAAGCAUGUGAAGCCACUUGGAGUCCUGGAGUGGAUGACCUGAUCCGUAAUGACUACUGGCCUGCCACUUCUCACUAUUCAACUGUGUAUGCAACAGAUGUCCUUUUUUCUUUUGAAGAGCUGAAGAUGGCAGCACCAGGGAUGUCUAGCCAAGCAUUUCUUAGAAUGCUGGAUCAACGCACUGUUCGCUUUGGCCGUUUUGCACUGAGACAUUUCCAAAAAAAAAAAA